rnacentral:lncRNA from 1 species
GCAAGGCCGGCCGGCGCCGCGGAAAGCAGCCUCGGGGAAGGAGGAGGAAGAGGGGCAGGUGUAGGGAGUGAAGAAGCAAAAAGAGGAGGAGGAAGAGGAGCUCAGGGCCGUCCCCGCGCAAUUAAUGGGCGGCUCCUGCGCCCUGGACCGGCCCGCCCGCCCAGCCCCUCGACCCCUGUAGCCCCGGCAGGGGAGGAAGGGCAGACCCACAGGUCAGGGAUUAGGAAUCAUGUUGCAUGACGCAAGGGACAGGCAGAAGUUCUUCAGCGAUGUUCAGUAUCUGCGGGACAUGCAGCAUAAGGUGGACUCUGAGUAUCAGGGACGGAGGUGAGGGAUUCUCCUCCUGGCUCACCUUUGAGGUAUGUGUUGCUCUACUCUUCACAGCCAAAACAGGAAAAAAAACUAGCUGGAGGGGAAUACUAUCUCAAACUGUUUUUAUGCCUUUGAUUUCUUGACCUCUUAAAAUUAAUGAACUUUAAUAAUGUCACCGAGGACAAUUAAAAUGCCAGACUCUGGGGUAUGCAAGUCAGAUCGCAAGAACAACAACAAAAAGAAACCAACUGAAGGAAGUGGCAACUCCCACUUCUCAAAGUGCAUCCUGAGAUAGAGGAACAGAUGCCAUUCUGGCUGGAGAUGUAAAGUCGGGUCGUGGUUCUGAUGGCUUUAUACCAGAAUUAUGAGGCUGGGAAGUGUUCCUGGGGCACAUGGCUUCUGAAGUCACAUGAUGACUGGAGGGAUCAGAUUGAUAAUGAAAGAAACAAAAGGAACUUUGAGCACAACUAUGGACUCAGAGAGCUGUAAUGUCGAAGAGAAGCGGCUUCAUUGUGACCCUGAAUGACUGAGAGCAGGAGCUGCUCAGUUGGCUGGCUGGGGUAUAGGAAACAGACCUCUACUUACAGGGCAGAAAAACAAGGAUGAACCUCAGGACUAGACAGAAAGAUUCUCUCUUCUUCUGCAACCAACAUCAGAGUCAUAUGCUUUGGCAAAGGCUGACUUUAGAAAUAUAGAAGUAAACCAGGAAAUGGGAUUGAGAACAGCAGUUAAAAGGCUGUGACAGCUGCUGGUGGUGAUGGGAGUGGCAGUGGUGG